rnacentral:rRNA from 1 species
GAUCAUGGCUCAGGAUGAACGCUAGCUACAGGCUUAACACAUGCAAGUCGAGGGGCAGCAUGAACUUUAGCUUGCUAAGUUUGAUGGCGACCGGCGCACGGGUGAGUAACACGUAUCCAACCUUCCCGUUACUCUGGGAUAGGCCUUUCGAAAGAAAGAUUAAUACCGGAUAGUAUCGAGAGAUUGCAUGAUAACCCGAUUAAAGAUUUAUCGGUAACGGGAAUGGGGAUGCGUUCCAUUAG